rnacentral:rRNA from 1 species
GAUCAACGCUGGCGGCGUGCCUCAGACAUGCAAGUCGAACGAUUAAAGCUCUCUUCGGAGAGUGCAUAGAGUGGCGCACGGGUGAGUAACACGUAAGUAAUCUACCCUCGAGUGGGGAAUAACAGUCGGAAACGACUGCUAAUACCGCAUAAUGCAGCGGCACCGCAAGGUGACAGUUGUUAAAGGAGCAAUCCGCUUGAGGAGGAGCUUGCGGCAGAUUAGCUUGUUGGUAAGGUAAUGGCUUACCAAGGCUACGAUCUGUAUCCGGUCUAAGAGGACGGUCGGACACACUGACACUGAAUAACGGGUCAGACUCCUACGGGAGGCAGCAGUCGGGAAUUUUGGGCAAUGGGCGAAAGCCUGACCCAGCAACGCCGCGUGAAGGAUGAAGUAUUUCGGUAUGUAAACUUCGAAAGAAUAGGAAGAAUAAAUGACGGUACUAUUUAUAAGCUCCGGCUAACUACGUGCCAGCCGCCGCCGUAAUAC